AAGCGUAGACGCGGACAAGAGCGGCACCAUUAAGGCAUACACUAGUGGGAGCUUCUCGGUGCCUGCGUGAAGACGCCCUCUUGCCUCCGGGAAAAGUAUCGUCUGCAUCUUCUUGCUCCAGGAGCGGGGGUGGGGAGCGCAGCGCGGAGGAGGCAGCGCUGAGAUGACUCAACAGUGCGGCAUUUGGGGGCGCCGCGGAGGCUGGGACUGCGUAAGCGGCGAUAGGGUAGGACCCACAGCCUCCUCGCAGGCAUUCUUGGAGCUCGGUUCCGCGGUCGGUCCGGAUCUCCCGGGAAGUCUCGCCGGAGUCAGGCAGGCCUUAGGAAGAAGCUGCCUGAUGUGCAAGGUUUCAUAGGCCGUCAGAGGGGGCAUCCUGGAGGAGCCCUGGCAUCAGGAAAGUGAGCCCCCCAUGGCAGCCCGCAGGAAUGAACCAGUGCUCAGGGCAGAAAAAUUCUGCCUGACCUUUCCCAUCUUCCUGAUGAUGUUAACAAACGACAGCCACUGAGGGCACAGGAGGGGGCUCUACACAGGCCAAGAGCUACAGGCUACAGUCUGAGCACAGAAAACCCUCCAGCUCCAGCAUCCAGGGCCACAGCUGGACACAAGUACAGAACCUGGCAGCCCUGCAGCCCAGACAAUGCCCAGGGUGUGAUUUAGGGUGCAGAGCUGCAACUCAGAUCCUGUGCCAUGGCAGUAUCACAGGAAGGACUUGACGGAGAGGUGAAGGCUCCAGACGCCAGGAUAUUUAUUCCCUGUGCCAAUACAGCAUUCACACCUGACCUCCAGGUCCUGCAGCAGGUACUCUCCUCAUUCACAGUUAGCUCCCCACUGUUCCAUUCUGGGUUCAUUUGCUAUACUCCUAAUCUGUUCUCCCAAUCCACCCCACAGUCUCUCCCUUGCUGGGGACAACACAGGAAGAGACAAAACCUGAGGAAGGAAAAAGGGAACCUGCAACCAGCCAUGGACCUCAUGAUCCCAUGAGUCACAGCUAUCCUCUGUCUUUAAGAAUGACUGUUUUAUAGCUUACAUGGUACCUGGGAAAUUGCUGACUUGCAGCUGAAAUGUAUGAAUACCAAAGAAUUUCUAUCACAAUAUUCACAGAUCUCUGUAUCAGCUCUACUUGGAGGUCAAGCAGGCUUGGGAGAGUAUAGACUGCUCUGCCUGCCCUAGAGUGGAAGCAUUGAACAAAGCCACAAAAACCCCAGAGAUCACAGAUCUAACUUUUCAAUGGCCCACAGGACCAGGUUCAGGACAGGUAGGACACCAGGCAAACCACUUGUUCCCUUGCGCUUCAUUGUGCAAAAGCUGGUCUGUUCCUCUGGCCAGACCCUCCUUAGUACAGGAUCUCGGACCACAAACCAAGGAGUCUCGUGGCCUUGGAUUCCCAGACCCUAGGAUGGUAUCCCUCUGACAGCUGGAACCAGGCAAGGGGGAACACACCUCAGCCUCAGAGCAGCCUCUGGACACUCUCCAGGUAACAUGAAAAUAACUUGUGCAAACACAGCCCCCAUGCCAGAAAGUCCAGUGCCCUAGGAAGGGCUAUCCUGAAUUCUGACCCUGAUGUUUGCCAAAGGAGAAUGCAGCAAGACAGUGUCAGGUUUGGCCAAAUGUGACCCUGCUCAGAGCUAUACCACUUGAAUACUGGCACAAAAGAAAGGACCAAGGUAAAGCAAAUUUAUUUGGGAGGAACAAUUCCCUUCAAAAGUAGAUCCCUAUCUUUAGGAGACAAAAGGCAACACUGUGAUGAACCCACACCCCCUAGUUUGGGGGGCCACAGGCCCAACCCCAUUCUGCUGUGGGCUCUAGCCUCAGUAGCCAGAUCCAGGUAAACCUCAGUUUCAAGAAUAAAGGUGAGCCACAGACAUGCAGCACCACCAGAGACAACAACACCCCGUGGCAAGAAGACCAUGUUCUGGACUGUCUCCGUACUGCCACGGUAAGGCAGGAGGCAUGCUGUGACCCCUUGUGCUCCAUGCCCAUUGCACAGGCCAGUUCAAUUCCCUACCAUCUGCCACCCAUGCUCUUCUUUGGGACUACAACUCUGGCCAAACGUGAAUAUGGAAAGCAGAGGCCCAGGGCCCUCUUGCAGUACAGACAUUUUGAGGUGGGUAGGCAGCAUAUGUUACAUUCUAAGUAAAACAGCUAGAGGGUAAAACACUCCAAUGCCAAUUUAUUUUCAAAAAGGGCUCUGUGUUAUCCUAUAGUUUGCCUUUUUUUUUUUUUUGUAUAAUUGUACAACCUUUGAAAGUUACAUAAGUUGUAAUGAUCUAAUACUAUUAAUAGCCAUUCAGAAAACACUUUCCCUCCCUCCCAACAACCAUCCAGGGGGAAAUAAAAGUCCUGAAAAGAGGCCAGUUCAACAUGGCCUCUACCCUGGUAGAAACAAAAAGUGAAAAGAGAAGAAAACAGAAAUCAACUAAGAGGUGUUGCCAGUGUCUCUCAGGAGUGGGGCCCUGGCUGUUGCCUGGGGUCAUGAAAGGCAGAGCCUGCAGCAUGCAGUAUGGCAGCCGGGAGACCUUGCAGCCACAUCUUCCUCACCCCGGCACAUCCACAUCCCAACUUAGGUGUCAUGGAAAUCUUUCAGCAGGGUUCUCCUCCGCUGCUCCGCUAUAUGCAUCUGGUUCUCCAAGUCCUGCAUCAGAGAAACAAGGUGUGUGCUUGCAUGGCCCAGGC
rnacentral:lncRNA from 1 species